CAGAGGGGGCAAGCGUUGUUCGGAAUUACUGGCGUAAAGGGCGCGUAGGCGGCCUUCUAAGUCGAACGUGAAAUCCCCGGGCUCAACCCGGGAACUGCGUCUGAUACUGGAAGGCUUGAAUCCGGGAGAGGGAUGCGGAAUUCCAGGUGUAGCGGUGAAAUGCGUAGAUAUCUGGAGGAACACCGGUGGCGAAGGCGGCAUCCUGGACCGGCAUUGACGCUGAGGCGCGAAAGCCAGGGGAGCAAACGGGAUUAGAUACCCCGGUAGUCCUGGCCCUAAACGAUGAAUGCUUGGUGUGGCGGGUAUCGAUCCCUGCCGUGCCGAAGCUAACGCAUUAAGCAUUCCGCCUGGGGAGUACGGUCGCAAGGCUG
rnacentral:rRNA from 1 species